GAUGAACGCUGGCGGCGUGCCUAAUACAUGCAAGUCGAGCGAACGGACGAGAAGCUUGCUUCUCUGACGUUAGCGGCGGACGGGUGAGUAACACGUGGAUAACCUACCUAUAAGACUGGGAUAACUUCGGGAAACCGUAGCUAAUACCGGAUAAUAUUUUGAACCGCAUGGUUCAAAAGUGAAAGACGGUCUUGCUGUCACUUAUAGAUGGAUCCGCGCUGCAUUAGCUAGUUGGUAAGGUAACGGCUUACCAAGGCAACGAUGCAUAGCCGACCUGAGAGGGGGAUCGGCCACACUGGAACUGAGACACGGUCCAGACUCCUACGGGAGGCAGCAGUAGGGAAUCUUCCGCAAUGGGCGAAAGCCUGACGGAGCAACGCCGCGUGAGUGAUGAAGGUCUUCGGAUCGUAAAACUCUGUUAUUAGGGAAGAACAUAUGUGUAAGUAACUGUGCACAUCUUGACGGUACCUAAUCAGAAAGCCACGGCUAACUACGUG
rnacentral:rRNA from 1 species